UUCUAGUCAGUGGCUCAGUCAGUAGAGUGUGAGACUCUUAAUCCCAGUGUCAUGGGUUCAAGCUCCACAUUGGACA